AUGUUGUUUGGAAGGAAAAAAAUUCUAACACUUCUCUUGACAAGAAUAAAAGAGGUCCUUGGGGCCUUAUAAAACAUUCACUUAAAAGGAGAGUUCACCUGUUUUGACAUAUGAGCUCAUUAU
ensembl:snRNA